UGUGUAGGCGGACUAAUAAGUCAGUGGUGAAAUCUUUCGGCUCAACCGAAAAACUGUCAUUGAUACUGUUAGUCUUGAGUUAAGUUGAGGUGGGCGGAAUGUGUAAUGUAGCGGUGAAAUGCAUAGAUAUUACACAGAACACCGAUUGCGAAGGCAGCUCACUAAACUUUGACUGACGCUGAGGCACGAAAGCGUGGGGAGCGAACAGGAUUAGAUACCCUGGUAGUCC
rnacentral:rRNA from 1 species